CGUUUCCCCACACCUGACCCUCAUGAAGACUGAAAAGACAAACAAAGUUAUUGCAUAAUUAGGAAAUGGACAUUACAUGACCAUGACACUGCAGCAAGUCUUGCACAUCCAGGAUGAUGAACUAAGCACCAGUUUUGCCAAGAGGAUCUACCCCAGAGGAGCAGAGGGAGGCCCCAGAUGGAGUGCCCACAGCCAAAAGGCAGGAGCACCAGAGAACCAGGAGCAGGAGGCAGCAGACUCCAGCCGGAGUCGGCCUCCCAGCACGAGCUGAGAACAGGGCCACAGGACCCUAGGUGCCCAAGGACUGCCUGACACCUGGCGGGAACCCCAGCAUGCAACAAAGAGGUCAAACCACUUCAGACCACAGGCCUGAGGGCCAGCAAGUACCCACAUCCAACAACCAGUGGAGAUGGAAACCUCCCCACACUCAAGAAGAGUGUCCCACAGGGACCAAGGCCUAGUGAGCCACACACACAACAAAAAGAUUGUUGACUUAUGUACCUGUGCAUUUUCAAAUGUCUGUGUUUCAGGUGCUGCAUGUUUGUUUUCCUUACAGGUGCCGUAGUUGAAGAGACAUUGUGCAUUUCUACUUCUACUCUAUCCUUUUACUGCCUGUCCUGCCUUAGACAUGGUCAUACUGUAUACUACGUAUAAUGACUGAAAUAACACAGAUAGAAAUGACAAAAUAAUCAGAUAAGCCCUGAACAAGAGGAGCCUGUAGAGAAUCUAAGGAGCUGUUCUUGGCAAAACAAAAUGUGUUUGGCACAACAGUGGAUCCAGAUCAUUCCACCCCCAAUCAAAGGACUUCCUCUCUACACAGACUACACAAACAACCAUCACUACUCUGUAAGAGUGAAUUUACGUGCAAUCACCUACACUGUAAAUAUAUAACAAUAUUGUUUUAUAUGUAUACAUUUGAUAUUGAAGCUGUUCAGAUGUUUAUGGUGCCACAGAACUGUGCACCUUACCCCCGU